GUGCCAGCCGCCGCGGUAAUACGGAGGGUGCAAGCGUUAUCCGGAUUCACUGGGUUUAAAGGGUGCGUAGGCGGGCAGGGAAGUCCGUGGUGAAAUCUCCGAGCUUAACUCGGAAACUGCCGUGGAUACUCUCUGUCUUGAAUACUGUGAAGGUGAGCGGAAUAUGUCAUGUAGCGGUGAAAUGCUUAGAGAUGACAUAGAACACCAAUUGCGAAGGCAGCUCACUGCGCAGUUAUUGACGCUGAGGCACGAAAGCGUGGGGAUCAAACAGGAUUAGAUACCCUGGUAGUCCACGCCCUAAACGAUGGAUACUCGACAUACGUGAUAUGACAAUGUGUGUCUGAGCGAAAGCAUUAAGUAUCCCACCUGGGAAGUACGACCGCAAGGUUGAA
rnacentral:rRNA from 1 species